GUGGGGAAUCUUCCGCAAUGGGCGAUAGCCUGACGCAGCCAUGCCGCGUGAAUGAUGAAGGUCUUAGGAUUGUAAAAUUCUUUCACCGGGGACGAUAAUGACGGUACCCGGAGAAGAAGCCCCGGCUAACUUCGUGCCAGCAGCCGCGGUAAUACGAAGGGGGCUAGCGUUGCUCGGAAUUACUGGGCGUAAAGGGCGCGUAGGCGGACAGUUUAGUCAGAGGUGAAAGCCCAGGGCUCAACCUUGGAAUUGCCUUUGAUACUGGCUGUCUUGAGUACGGGAGAGGUGAGUGGAACUCCGAGUGUAGAGGUGAAAUUCGUAGAUAUUCGGAAGAACACCAGUGGCGAAGGCGACUCACUGGCCCGUUACUGACGCUGAGGCGCGAAAGCGUGGGGAGCAAACAGGAUUAGAUACCCCGGUAGUCC
rnacentral:rRNA from 1 species